GUAAAUAAGAAGGCAAAAGCCUAACAAUGGCUUUACGUGUGUGUAAACUCAAAGCGGCUUCAAUUCUCUUGACAGAAGUAUGGUCAAUGGUAGGCACAGGCGAUGAGACUAUAGAACCUCUCGUGCACUAACUUUAUUUGACAUGCAACAGUUACCGCCAUCUUCGGCUCGGCUAAUGCAAUCGUUUUUGUGAGCUAUGCGUUUGUUAGUACUCGGUCUAUCCGUGUAGAUGGCACUUUAAAGCGCUCGGUCGUGGCUUCUUGCCUGGUUGCCCGUCUGCUAUAGGCGUCGCCAUUGACAUCGUUUAUUUAGCGAUCUCGUGCGCCACGUUUACCUUCGACGGCGUGAACGUCGAUGAGAGCUUUCGCCUGGGUUAUGAAUUGAUAACACGAAGAGAACAGAGAAUCCGCACACUGUAACGGGGACGAGAAAGUGAUGGAAGAACGUAAAUACAGAGUGGUAGUCAAAGUGCAGAGUGACAUAUGGCGGAGUGUUUUUCAUGACUGUUAAAAAAAGAAUGACAAAAGUGCCAACUAUGAAUGUGUAAUGGAGUUGUGUUACGGUUAUACCGAGGAUCGAUGAAUGUCGUGAUUAUAAAUUUAGAUUUUUCAUAAAAUCAUAAUGCGUCUGUUACGUGCCAAUAGCUCGUUAAGAACACCCCUUUACUCAGGAAGAUAUAUUAAUAUUGUAUCUCGUUAGGUCAGUUUGCUAAUAAAGCGAAGUGAGCAGAUACACUGACUUGUUAAAAAUUGUGUCUGCAUACCGUAUAUCGCGCGUGCCACUACGUGCAAGAGAAAUAUAACUGACAUUUUAAAAGUAUAAAUAUCGUAUAGAAAUCCGUAGCUAUCUCGAAUUUUAAUUAAAAUUUACAUAGAAACCGAUAGAAUUCUAUAUUGGUACUUGGAAUGACAUACGCGUGACCAUUCCAGUACACGCCACAUACGGUAUCGGUUCAUAUCCACCCAUUGCAUCCUUUAUCCCGAUGAAAUUUCAUUUUAACCAUUCGGAUUGUAAAGUCAAGUAGAAAAAGCAGCAGGAAUAUCCGAUUCUGAUAACGCACAAUAUAUUGUGAAAUCGGAAAUAAAAUAAUCCCAUCCGUACAGGAAUAUUUAUAUAUUUUUAUAUAUCAAAAGUUAUCGUUACCGUUAUGAAAUAUUGAUACUUUUUUUCAAAUACUUUACUUUUCCCCGUUUACCUUGUUUAUACAGAGACGUCAGUAAGAUCAGUCAGCACUUAGCUCGGUACUGAUAAAAUACGAGGAAACGACUGACUAAGGGUGAGUAAACGAGAAGGAUAAAAAUAAAGAAAUACAUUUCAAAGAAUUAUUUUCUCGCGCGUCCAAUCUACAAGAACGGAAACGUUUGUUCUUUCUGGAUAAAAUAACUCCAAAGAGUGGUACCAGGGGGUCGGUUCAUGAGUGUUCUAUGGCACCUAUAUACUAUUGGCUGUCGUCUCCUCACCCUCGUAAAACUGCCAAUCGGGCUCUGAUGCUGCCUGGGAUAAAAGAUUUACUGGCAUCUAUAUGAGGAAUUGCAGGAAAGUGCCAAAUGCCUUCGCGCGACUCCUCAGACAUGGCCGACUUGUUACGAUUUUUCUCCUGUUAUUUCUCAUCGAUUUAUUACAAAGUUUAAAGGGACUACGUUGAAAAUACCUUAGGAACAAAGUGGCUACCGGAAGCAUUUAAAUAGAGAAGUACAGUUGACCUAUGACUUUUAAAUCUCUAUUUUUCUUUUUUAGUAAUUAUAACUCCACACAUGCCGGAAAACUUUUUCCGCGUUACUAUAGUUUGCACUACUGAUAUAAUAUAUAUAUAUAUAUAUCCAUCAUGAAAUUAUACCCUGAACAAGUCAGCGGUGCUCAGGAAAGUAGAAGAACAAAGUAACUUAUAAUCUCUGUAGUAAUUAUCCGGACUCUCGAGUCGUUCAACUAUUUAAUCUUUAAUCGGCUUGUCUGUGGCACGAAUUAACCGUUGACGAGGAUAACUUAAGAUACCCCAACGAAUGAUCCUACCCUGAAUCCCUUAAGGAGUUUUCCUCAACGAAGGAGAAUCCUCUCUUUUUUCAUCCCCUUACCUGACACCCCAUCGUUCACGAUGGCUACUUCAGAAUUUUCGGAUCACCUUCGGAUCCUCUAGUUUCUUCUUACCCGUCCUCCCUGCCUCUCCCUCGUUACUACGUUUCUUAUUUUCCCCCCUAAACUGUCAAUUCGAAAGCUCGAAACGAAUUAUAAAAGUUACUCCCCCAUUGUGCAUCUGCAUUUGGGCCUCUGCGCACUCAUUGCCAUAAACAUCGCGGUUUAAACUUUUCUUGUAGCGCACCGGUGCAAAGUGCCCCAUUAAUACGGCGCGCGGGAACGUAAUUUGAAUUUUAUCCUCUGCAACUAAACCCGCGUGCUGCCGCUACGGGCUUCCCUCACGGUUUAUGGACGCUGUCCUGUUGUGCGAAACUCCUGGAAAUUCUCCUUCUUAUUUUUUAACGUCAUUUCGCAACAUUUCUACCCUCGACGUUUUACUGCCAUUCUGUAACUCUCUUUCUACCUUUCCCCCUCUCUCUCUCUCACUUUUUCUCUGGCACAGCAACCCCCCUAGCAAAUCAUGCGAAAUUCAUUAAAACUUACCACAAAAGAACCUACGUCUUCUUUUUCGGUGAUCGCGACACUCGCAAACAUCAAUUAAGGAAACUUUAUCAGGAGACAUGAAAAAAAAAAAAAAAUUCCAAUAAGGUCGCCCAGGAACAAU